AUUGAACGCUGGCGGCAGGCUUAACACAUGCAAGUCGAGCGGGGUGAUGGUGCUUGCACUAUCACUUAGCGGCGGACGGGUGAGUAAUGCUUAGGAAUCUGCCUAUUAGUGGGGGACAACAUCUCGAAAGGGAUGCUAAUACCGCAUACGUCCUACGGGGGAAAGCAGGGGAUCACUUGUGACCUUGCGCUAAUAGAUGAGCCUAAGUCGGAUUAGCUAGUUGGUGGGGUAAAGGCCUAUCAAGGCGACGAUCUGUAGCGGGUCUGAGAGGAUGAGCCACGACACUGGGACUGAGACACGGCCCGGACUCCUACGGGAGGCAGCAGUGGGGGAUAUUGGACGAUGGGGGGGAGCCUGAGCCAGCCAUGCCGCGUGUGUGAAGAAGGCCUUAUGGUUGUAAAGCACUUUAAGCGAGGAGGAGGCUCUUUUGGUUAAUACCCAGAAUGAGUGGACGUUACUCGCAGAAUAAGCACCGGCUAACUCUGUGCCAGCAGCCGCCGUAA
rnacentral:rRNA from 1 species